rnacentral:lncRNA from 1 species
UUUCAUAUUGAAACUUAUAACCAAACUUUUAUACAAAACACAAACCAGAGCACUUCACAACUUUUUACUCUAAACUCUAUUCACAUCAAAAUGGAGAUCUCAAAAGAAGAUAGAAUCUCAAUCCAUCUGGGCCGUACUCAAGGCCCCUCUUGAGAUUAUCUUCUUCUUCCAAAGAUCCUUUUCCUCAAGUUUCACCUCUGAGUUCUCCUUCUCAGACUCCUCCUCCUCAGCUCCUCAGCGGGGUCCUGAAAUGAUUUCCCAAACCGGGAUGAGACUACGUCUCAGCGAGUUCUACCCCACUAAGGCCCGAUUAGUAAACCAUUAUACUAUAGGAUGCCUAAACACGCAUAGGGCAGAGGACUUACCUUGGCCUCAGAUCCCACCUGCAUAAUCAGUACAAUUCACAAUAGGCAUCCAUUUACUCAAAACAAAUUGAACUAGUCAAUUACAUGUCACACAAAUCAUUCCCCACUGAGGGAUAUUUAAAAGCUAGGCCACGUGCAUUCUCCAGGAUGACAUCCCAAGUCUCCGAGCCACGUGCCUCAAACCUUGGGCCCACGUACAUUCUCUAAGGCGACCUCUUCGCCAAGGUGGUACAUCAAGUCACCGAGUCACGUGCCCUUUUAGAUGCUAUUCUCAAAUACUAGACCCACGUGCAUUCUCUAAGGCACUCAAUUGCCAAGGUGACGCAUCAGAUCACCGAGCCACAUGUCCUUUUUACGAUGCCCGGGCUCACGUGCCUUCUCUUAGGUGCUAUCUCACCAAAGUGAUGCAUCAAUUCACCGAGCCACGUGCCCUUUUAGACGCCAAACUCUGUCACCGAGCCACGUGCAUUCUCCAGGAUGACAUACCGAGUCUACGAGCCACGUGCAUUCUCUCAGGUGACCUUUUCGCCAAGAUGACAUAAUCAACCACUGAAUUCACGUGCAUUCUCCAAGUGAUAUUCCAAUUCACUGAGCCCACGUACUUUCUUUCGGGUGAUUACCAACCUACUUUCAAUACCGACAACCAAUGCCCAAGGAUUUCUCAAUCAAAUAAUUAAAUCAACUCAACAAAGCAUUAUAAAUGCUGAAUAACAUACUUGGCCAUUUACCAAUCAACAAUUUGAUCUCAAUCAAUUCCAAUCAAUUUAGGGUAAAUUCCUAAAAUAUCACAAUUUAUUUAAUUCCAUGCAACGUGGAGCUCAAAUAAAUAAACGGACUGCGCCACGACAAUCAGCACGAGAUUUCCGUCGUCGGCCAUCUCAACCUUAACUUCCGAACAAUAAUUAAUUAAUUAAUUACUUUCGAAAAUUAAUUAAUAAAUAUUAAAAAUUCAAUUUAAUCUCAAUAAGCCCAAUUAAAUAAACAGACUUCACCACUGUCACCAGCAUAAAAUUCGGGUCCCAGACCAUCCCAGUUGAAUUUUCAGAAAAUAAAUAAUUAUUUAAUUUAAUUCCGAAAAAUAAUAUUUAAAUACCAAAAAUUCCACUUAGGCCCGAAUUGCCUAAUUGAAGCCCACUAAGGCUCAGGAAAAAUCCCGAGAUACUUUCAAUAAAUAGUAUACCAUGUCUACUUGCUAAUUGCACAAUCAAUUUAUCUAAUUCGCAUCACAAUUGACUAAUAAACACUAAUCCAUACUAAUCUAACCACCUAAACCUAAUUAAUUAAAACUAAACCACCCUUAAACAUAAUUAGCCAACUAAUCAUGGAUUAGUGAGAUUACUCACCGGAAUCGCGUGCAAAUCGGAUCAAUCCGACGGGGGCGACGCGAGGAACAACAAACUCCAAAGCACGACUUGGGUUCGGGGCCCGGAAACGGCCCAAAACUAGCCAGAAGGGGGCUGGCAACCCACUCUGUGGGGUGGCUGCAACGGCUGAAAACAGACAAAAAAACAGCCACAAAUCAAAGCAGCAAGGGCGGCAAGGUGCGGGGGAGGGCCGGUGGAGGUCCGACGGGGCCGAACGGUGGCCGGAGGUGGC